GGCUGAGCUUCCCAAUUUACUGCAAACAGUAAUGAGUCAGAAUGCAUCUGUGACCUCCUUUUGGAAGAAAUAUUCAUCUGGGACCAACUCUCCUCAUAGCACUCUUCAGGAGAGAUUGUCAAGCUUGAAGUCAACUAUGAAAGCUUCUGCUCUGUGAUUUUCUCUCUUGGAAGAGCAUGCAGCAGCGAGGAACGCAGCAAGGGAAGUGCUUCACUCUAAUUAGGCCUAAGUGUGUGUGUUUAUGAAAAAGUGUGACGAAGAUCACAUGGAAAGCCUCAUCAGUGCUGAAUCUUUUGGGUGAUGUUAUCUUGCCUUUUCAAAACCAAAUGCAGCAGUCCCUACUAGUUAAAGAUUUUCCCCUUAGGUGCCAUGUUUUUAUUUUUCUUCUGUUUUCUUGGGGAUUUUCCCAGGUUCAGCAGGGCUUUGCAAGCACAUGUGAGUGAAACAUUCCCAUGUGUUCACAAAAGGGGAAGGUAACAAGAUGGUGAAGAUUUCUAUAAUGAGACACCUUCAUCCUCAUUUUACACCCUUACUGCAAUAACGAUAAGAUGGGGGAUGAAGUUUCAGAUUCAAGCCCAAAGCAACAGAACCAAGAACCCCAUCUCAUCUGCAACCUCAGGGUUUGCAGAGCCAGUGUACAGAAGUUCAAAAGUUAAGUUUAGGACCAGAAGCUGCUGAAAUCAACGGAUGGGUUGUAAUCUCUCUGCAACACUACUAUAAAACCACAUUGUGAUCUUAGUUACAAUGUGUAUGGAUACAAUAACUCCACUGAGGUCCUGAGUUGCUCUAGCUUUACAAGCAAUGUAACAACCAUCAAAACAUGGGACACAAAGCAUAUUGCCCUUUUAAAUCUAAAAAUCUCUGCAUGUAAUGCAUUAAAACUGCUUAAAAUCUGCAGUUCUAUGUUGUUACAGAACACACUUCCUUGCUUGUCAGGGAACUGGCACUGCCUGUGUCU